rnacentral:rRNA from 1 species
UUGAACGCUGGCGGCAUGCCUUACACAUGCAAGUCGAACGGCAGCACGGGGGCGACCCUGGUGGCGAGUGGCGAACGGGUGAGUAACGCAUCGGAACGUACCCGGAAGUGGGGGAUAACGUAGCGAAAGUUACGCUAAUACCGCAUAUUCUGUGAGCAGGAAAGAGGGGGAUCGCAAGACCUCUCGCUUCCGGAGCGGCCGAUGUCGGAUUAGCUAGUUGGUGGGGUAAAGGCCUACCAAGGCGACGAUCCGUAGCUGGUCUGAGAGGACGACCAGCCACACUGGGACUGAGACACGGCCCAGACUCCUACGGGAGGCAGCAGUGGGGAAUUUUGGACAAUGGGCGCAAGCCUGAUCCAGCCAUUCCGCGUGAGUGAAGAAGGCCUUCGGGUUGUAAAGCUCUUUCGGCCGGGACGAAAUCGCACGGGUCAAUACCCUGUGUGGAUGACGGUACUGGAAGAAGAAGCACCGGCUAACUACGU